AAAAAUGGUAUUAUUCGCACUCGUAUAUGUUCUAUAAUAGGGUUUGAACGUUUCUACCUAACAGCCGUAAACUGUUUGACUAUGGGUGUUUAUAGUUAGAUU
rnacentral:ncRNA from 2 species